AGCUGCUAUAUUGCCAAGUCUGGCCUUGUUACUGAGGAUUUGCAAUGAGAAAUGGACAGUAAUCUUUUUCCCUAGAAAGUACAUUAAUUUUACCUCAUUGUCACUGUUUACACUUUUUUUUCUCAGUUAACGAAUUGCAUGAAAACCAAAUAAUUUGGGAAAUAGCCUCUCUGAUACUCGCACUGGAAGUACAGAAUUGUUGAAAUUCAGAAGUAAAUCAAGUGCUGCUAAUUUCUCCCCAGAGCCUGUCUUAAUUUCACACCCUAGGUAUCAAUUUUGUUAAAAGGUGUUUUUCUUUCUCCCACAAUUCGUCUGGCAAUUACAAGUUUAAAUUAGACAAUUAUCACUAUCAGCCUCUUUACAUUUCUUUCUCUCCUUAUUGUUUAAUAAUUGCUCUUUCUACUAAUGUCAGCACCAGAAUAUAUUCUUUUUUUUCUCUGCUUCAAAUUUCAUAUUAUUACAACUUCAUAUGAAAGCAGAAAAGAUGCAGCCACACAUUAUAACUGCUUCUGCUGUAUUUUUACUAAAAAGAAAAAAAAAAGGCUUAAUAAAUGUUUUGUGCAAUUCAAUAAUGUAUUACACCAAGAAAAAAAGUUCUGAUAGUGUUUUUGUAUAGAAUUCAUGGAUCAUAGUGACCUUCUUAUCAGAACUACCUCAAGGAGAACAUUUACGCAAUGAAUAGAUCCGCAAAAUAGUUUUCCCAUCAUUGUCCACCAAAUCAUGAAAGCCAUCAGGAAACUGUAGGC